rnacentral:lncRNA from 1 species
UACAUGGAAGGGAAAAUGGGUGACGAAAAUAAAAUUAAUUGGCAACAGCCUUUCCACCAUACAAGUGAGUUUUAUUACAAAUUGGUAAUAGAAUCAGGGUAACAUUUGGGGGUGAUCACAAAUAGCUGAGUCUUGGAAAGGGCUGUAUGGACAGAAGGCUGGAAUCUGCCUGCAACAAAGAGCUGCUCCUGAGCAGACCAGUAGCAAUGUCUUCUUCACGUGAUAAGGACAUUUCCACUUUUCUGUCUUUGUGCCUGUAUGUAUAGAAACAGAUCAGAGCACAGUUGAAAUUAAUGUAACU